rnacentral:tRNA from 1 species
GAAAUAUGGGGACCAAGAUAAAGCUUCUAACUUUUUUCUGUAGCGGUUUGACUCCGUUUAUAUUUCU